ACUGAUAGAGGCGCAGAAUACAUCAGUAGCAAAUUCGAAGCUUGACAAAGGGAUUUGUGAAAGGGUAUUUUGCCGAAAUGUAACCGAAUGUCAAAACGGUUAUGUUGGGCAAUGAUGAAAUACAUCAUUGACUGUCACAAGUUUUUGUGGAGUGCUAUCGU
rnacentral:ncRNA from 1 species